rnacentral:rRNA from 2 species
GACGAACGCUGGCGGCGUGCUUAACACAUGCAAGUCGAACGGAAAGGCCCUGCUUUUGUGGGGUGCUCGAGUGGCGAACGGGUGAGUAACACGUGAGUAACCUGCCCUUGACUUUGGGAUAACUUCAGGAAACUGGGGCUAAUACCGGAUAGGAGCUCCUGCUGCAUGGUGGGGGUUGGAAAGUUUCGGCGGUUGGGGAUGGACUCGCGGCUUAUCAGCUUGUUGGUGGGGUAGUGGCUUACCAAGGCUUUGACGGGUAGCCGGCCUGAGAGGGUGACCGGCCACAUUGGGACUGAGAUACGGCCCAGACUCCUACGGGAGGCAGCAGUGGGGAAUAUUGCACAAUGGGCGGAAGCCUGAUGCAGCAACGCCGCGUGCGGGAUGACGGCCUUCGGGUUGUAAACCGCUUUCGCCUGUGACGAAGCGUGAGUGACGGUAAUGGGUAAAGAAGCACCGGCUAAC